rnacentral:rRNA from 1 species
GACGAACGCUGGCGGCGUGCUCAACACAUGCAAGUCGAACGGAAAGGCCCUGCUUUUGUGGGGUGCUCGAGUGGCGAACGGGUGAGUAACACGUGAGUAACCUGCCCUUGACUUUGGGAUAACUUCAGGAAACUGGGGCUAAUACCGGAUAGGAGCUCCUGCUGCAUGGUGGGGGUUGGAAAGUUUCGGCGGUUGGGGAUGGACUCGCGGCUUAUCAGCUUGUUGGUGGGGUAGUGGCUUACCAAGGCUUUGACGGGUAGCCGGCCUGAGAGGGUGACCGGCCACAUUGGGACUGAGAUACGGCCCAGACUCCUACGGGAGGCAGCAGUGGGGAAUAUUGCACAAUGGGCGGAAGCCUGAUGCAGCAACGCCGCGUGCGGGAUGACGGCCUUCGGGUUGUAAACCGCUUUCGCCUGUGACGAAGCGUGAGUGGCGGUAAUGGGUAAAGAAGCACCGGCUAACUACGUG